rnacentral:other from 1 species
UAAUUCCUGGGGUGCACGACAACUUCUGUAUUUUUGAACCUACAACACUUUAAAAGGGAUUCCUAUAUCUGUAGUUGGAUGUCGGGCCGUCACUGCGUAUAUACAUCUUGGUAUUUGCGUACUUAUGGCAACAUAGCAACGGAAGGCAGAAGGCUGCAUGCGGUUGCCCACCUAGCCUUUGCUAGGAGUCAAAAAACAGAAGCCGGCAUUUCGGGAUAGA